UUUUCAUGCCUUCAUUGUUACGGGAUAUGCUGCAUUUCAUCAGUUCAUUUUUACAUAAGGGUGUGGAACUACGAUCUGUAAUUGCCUUCCUGUUCUUUUCCUUUUGGCAUUGGUUCAGAUUAGCAAAGUGCUGCAGUUAAGAAGCUCAAGAAAAGACAUGACCGGUAACUGAAGAAAGGUGGAGAUGUUCUUUUCCUUUUGGCAUUGGUUCAGAUUAGCAAAAUGCUGCAGUUAAGAAGCUCAAGAAAAGACAUGACCAGUAACUGAAGAAAGGCGGAGAGAGGUUCUUCUUCUGUUUCUUGGUUCGCUCUCUCUGCCCACAGUGCAAGAGUGCCACCAAUAUCGGGCAACCCUCACCGUGUGACCUCGUCUCAUCUCACAAACGGCAUGAUUCACGGGGUGGACCAGUCAUUGGCUAUAGGUUCACGGUGAACCCACGGCGGCAGAUCCAGCACCACUACGGCAAGAUCUGGUUAGUGUAUGGAGGACCAAGCGUGGCUGCCCAUCAGAGAUGCUGCUCUGCUGCCUCUGCAUCUGCGGUUUCCUCACCAAUGCCGUGGCCC